UACGUAGGUGGCAAGCGUUGUCCGGAUUUACUGGGCGUAAAGCGAACGCAGGCGGACUGUUAAGUAGAAAGUGAAAGGUUGGAGCUCAACUCUAACACUGCUUCCUAUACUGGCAGUCUUGAGUGGCGGAGAGGGAGAUGGAACGACACGUGUAGCGGUGAAAUGCGCAGAUAUCAGGAGGAACACCGGUGGCGAAGGCGGGUCUCUGGGCAGUAACUGACGCUGAGGAGCGAAAGCGUGGGGAGCGAACAGG
rnacentral:rRNA from 1 species